AUGAACGCUAGCUACAGGCUUAACACAUGCAAGUCGAGGGGCAGCAUGGUCUUAGCUUGCUAAGGCCGAUGGCGACCGGCGCACGGGUGAGUAACACGUAUCCAACCUGCCGUCUACUCUUGGACAGCCUUCUGAAAGGAAGAUUAAUACAAGAUGGCAUCAUGAGUCCGCAUGUUCACAUGAUUAAAGGUAUUCCGGUAGACGAUGGGGAUGCGUUCCAUUAGAUAGUAGGCGGGGUAACGGCCCACCUAGUCUUCGAUGGAUAGGGGUUCUGAGAGGAAGGUCCCCCACAUUGGAACUGAGACACGGUCCAAACUCCUACGGGAGGCAGCAGUGAGGAAUAUUGGUCAAUGGGCGAGAGCCUGAACCAGCCAAGUAGCGUGAAGGAUGACUGCCCUAUGGGUUGUAAACUUCUUUUAUAAAGGAAUAAAGUCGGGUAUGGAUACCCGUUUGCAUGUACUUUAUGAAUAAGGAUCGGCUAACUCCGUGCCAGCAGCCGCGGUAAUACGGAGGAUCCGAGCGUUAUCCGGAUUUAUUGGGUUUAAAGGGAGCGUAGAUGGAUGUUUAAGUCAGUUGUGAAAGUUUGCGGCUCAACCGUAAAAUUGCAGUUGAUACUGGAUAUCUUGAGUGCAGUUGAGGCAGGCGGAAUUCGUGGUGUAGCGGUGAAAUGCUUAGAUAUCACGAAGAACUCCGAUUGCGAAGGCAGCCUGCUAAGCUGCAACUGACAUUGAGGCUCGAAAGUGUGGGUAUCAAACAGGAUUAGAUACCCUGGUAGUCCACACGGUAAACGAUGAAUACUCGCUGUUUGCGAUAUACUGCAAGCGGCCAAGCGAAAGCGUUAAGGAUUCCACCAGGGGAGUACGCCGGCAACGGUGAAACUCAAAGGAAUUGACGGGGGCCCGCACAAGCGGAGGAACAUGUGGUUUAAUUCGAUGAUACGCGAGGAACCUUACCCGGGCUUAAAUUGCAGAUGAAUUACGGUGAAAGCCGUAAGCCGCAAGGCAUCUGUGAAGGUGCUGCAUGGUUGUCGUCAGCUCGUGCCGUGAGGUGUCGGCUUAAGUGCCAUAACGAGCGCAACCCUUGUUGUCAGUUACUAACAGGUUCCGCUGAGGACUCUGACAAGACUGCCAUCGUAAGAUGUGAGGAAGGUGGGGAUGACGUCAAAUCAGCACGGCCCUUACGUCCGGGGCUACACACGUGUUACAAUGGGGGGUACAGAGGGCCGCUACCACGCGAGUGGAUGCCAAUCCCCAAAACCUCUCUCAGUUCGGACUGGAGUCUGCAACCCGACUCCACGAAGCUGGAUUCGCUAGUAAUCGCGCAUCAGCCACGGCGCGGUGAAUACGUUCCCGGGCCUUGUACACACCGCCCGUCAAGCCAUGAAAGCCGGGGGUACCUGAAGUGCGUAACCGCGAGGAGCGCCCUAGGGUAAAACUGGUGACUGGGGCU
rnacentral:rRNA from 1 species